rnacentral:rRNA from 1 species
CAAGAGCGUAUAUUAAAGUUGCUGCGGUUAAAAAGCUCGUAGUUGGAUUUCAGUCUAGGAAGGUUAACUCGCCGAAAGGUUGUACGUUGAUUUUCCUCAGACUUCGUCAGAAGCUCGUGCUGCACUUAACUGUGUGGUACGAUGUUCUGACCUUUUACCUUGAGGAAAGUAGAGUGUUUCAGGCAGGCGACCCAGCUUGAAUACAUUAGCAUGGAAUAAUGAAAUGGAUCUCGGUUCGAUUUCGUUGGUUCUAGAGCUGAGGUGAUGAUCAAUAGGAACAGGCGAAGGUAUUCGUACUUGAGAGUGAGGAGUGAAAUCCGAUGAUCUCUUAAAGACGAUCCGAGGCGAAGGCAUUUGUCAAGGAUGUUUUCAUUGA